rnacentral:lncRNA from 1 species
GGUUAACAGUACUUAACGGCGCCCUCUAUAAUAGCAGACGGCAGUUUAUCAACCAUGAUAUUUGGGAAGGAAGAUUAGUUAUUGUCACCAUAUUAUCACAGAGAAGUGGAAUAGAUUGUUGACACAUCAAGAGGGCGGGUUUUGAAGAGAAAGUUGAAGAAUUAAUGCAGUUAUAUUGCUGAGAAGAUUUUAAUUAAAGGUAAAUAGAUGAAUCAAGUAAUUUACAUGUAAUUUCAUGCAACAGGUGUCGAUUCCAACACGUGUUGAAAUGCGGGAUGGAAUCGGCGUUCCAGUUGGACAAGCUUUAAUCAGGUAUUACAUUAAAUGUUAGUUUUCUUAUAGAAAUUCAAUAUUUGCUUGAUUUUUAAAAAAAACAUUAUCAUGAGAAUAUAGGAAGUCUUAGCAAUAUCUUUACCGGCCAACUUUACUAAGUUUCAGGAAGUUUCAUAAAUGUUAACAUUCUUUCGAGUGUAAGUUAUAUAAAUUUUUAUUUUAUAGUUCUACCUGUGAACUUUGUACUGAUACAGAGAACAAUUGUAUUUUAAUACAAGACAGAAAAAAGAUCAACAGCUUGUCAUAUAUGUAAAAAUUAUUCAAUUUAAAAUCGAUAAUCAAUGCAGUGCUUGAAUAUUCUUGGAGACAGGUAAAUUGCCAAAAAUCUCUGAAUUUCAAUAGAAAGAUAGAGUCGUGUGGUAUCAGAUUACCUGUAAAUGUGGGAUGAACAGAUUUAUUACAGGUAAACAGGUAUGACAAGCCAUCAGGUGAGAUUUAUCUCCAAGAUUGUAUGGGAGAAUGUUUCCUUACAACUUUACAUUUUAUAGAAAUAUUGUUGUCUGUUAAAGCCAUGUAGUGUGGGAAAGUUUGUCAGGAAUUUUUGUUUUGAUUAAAUUUAUUAAUUACAGGUAAUUAUGAGACUUCUAUUACAUAUAGUAGUAUUGAAAGGUUCUUUAGAGUAGAACCACAUAUUUUGGAUUUUUUCUUCCCUCGGAAUUGCAGUUUAGAUAAAAGUUAAUUGUUUUGAUGUGGGAAUUUUGUUGUUUUAUUUGUAAUAAAAUAUUGAUAAUAAUUGCAUGGUGUUUGUUCUUUGUGAUGCCAAGAUUUACAUGUCUAUGAUUAUCACAGUAGCCCUCUGUACUCCAAAAAUGAAAGAAUCUUCAGAAUUGCAAAUUAAAAAAAAAAGACUGUAUUUGCUGCAUCAAAAGUUCUUUAUUAGUAAGUUCUUUCUUUGUGCCAAAUUUUUAUAAGACAAAACUGUAAAAUUUAUAAAGAGAGCUAUAAGUUCUAUCCUUUUGCCAUACUUCUAGGAAGAUGUUGAUAUGUGAGGUGAAUCAGGAUUCAAGGAAAGUCCCAGGAUGGCUAUUGUCUGUUAUGGUAUAAAAAAAAAUGAGUGUAGCAAGAAAAGAUGCUUUAAAAUAAUUUAUGCCAUCUGAUCAAAAAGGGGACGUAACACCAGUCCCCUAAUUGCCCCACCUCAAUCAGCCAUUCUUAAUGAAGACCUUGCAAAAUUACUAUUUAUAGAAUAUCACUUUUUUUAGUGGAAAUUGCCUUUCUGUAAUAAACUUUAGAAUUGUUUCAAGAAUACAAAAUCACUGGAUGGUAUGUAUGUCCAGUUUUGAAGCUAUUUUACUGGAGAUAAUACCCAUAAAUUUUUCUUUAUCCUUCCUAACAGAUAUCCUCUAGCAUUGUGAAGUUGCACUUGGAAUCAAAGGAUUACAUUUAGAAUUUUUUAGUUUGCACACAUAAGAGGGGGGUUUCAAUGUUUUAUUUUAAAUUUAUUGAUAUUCUAAAUGACUUGUCAAGCAUUUCCCUUAUUAGUAUUCACUAACUUGAUUUGGUCCUGAUCUUUUCAAUAAUGGAAAAAAAUAAUUAGAUAAUUCGAAUGCAUCAUUUGAUAAAAACAUGUAUUUAACAAAAACACUCAACAAAUUAGUAAUUUGUCAUUUUGCUCUUAAUACUUAAAUUGUUAUAAAAUUUACCAAAAGCACAUGCAGCACAAUGUUUGAAUAUCCAAUUCAACUUUUAUGUUAAAAAAGGAAGUAUUGAAUAUUUAAUUCCUCACAAAUUUAAUGUAAGAAAUCAAGAUCCUUAUCAUUAAUAAAAGAACCAUAAUAGGCUUUAUUUGUACAAGGAAUUAAUUUAUAGUUGGCCAACAAGUAUCACCAUUUUAUAAUCCUAUUGUAACAAAUUUUGACUUAGAAGGCAUCAUUAAAGAUAAAAUGUUAGAUUAAGCCAUUGAGAAGGAAGUUAGAAUUAUAAUCUGUAGUUUGGCAGAAAAGUAGAUUCCUAAAAACAGGAAACCGCACUUAGGCAGUAAACCCUGAUUUUCAUCUUAUCUCUUUCCUGAUUUGGUACUCUUAUUUAAAUUCUUAACAGACCGAAUCAUGUUUCCUUUCAUUAAAUUCCACUUUAUUUGGGACUUGAAAGUAGGUUGUAGAGAAACGGUCUUAUAACUUAAGGUUUAUUGGAAACUGAAGAAUUUGUCUUUGUUGAACACACAUUGCAAUAGUGUCUAGAUACAGUAUGCCAAAUAAUCAACUUAAAUCUCAGGUAAAAAUAAGAUUGAAGAAUUCUUUAUGUGUCUUUGAGACCAAGAAGUUUUCAGGUCAUUUACUUCUAUAUCACAUUACAAGCCAUCAAAGUUUAAAUAAAUUGAAUUCAAAAUGUUCAGUAGGUGGAACAAACUGAUACAAAACUUCCUUUUGACCUCCUUUCACUUGAAAAUGUGUCGACUGCAAAUUGGUAGAUUCUUCAGGACAUUAUAAAAUUGUAGUUUUAACAGAAUUCACUUUAUCUCUAUAAUUUAGCAGUUUAAUAGGUCUUUAAAAGUUUGUAGACAUGUAAAUGUUUUUAAGUAGUGUCAUCAAGAUUUGGGGGAUUGAAAUUGUACAGGUCUAAGAUCCAUGACCUUGAAAGAUUUAGUUAUAACCUUUUAUACUUUUGCAGUCUUACACUUAGAACUUUCAAUAAAUUUCAUCUGGUUAGAAUUUUAUUGAAUGAAAGUUAUAAUUAUCAUGACUGUAUACGGUACAAGGAAAUGUUCCAAUGCGUUAAGAUUAGUAAAAACAUUUAUAUGAAAAGGAAUUCUAAGGGCAUGACAUAAUGUUAAAACUACUCAAAUAAGGAAAACUUAAGGCCAAACAUCUUGUGGAGUCAUAUGCAUAAAAAUUUGGAUAAUCAACCCAACCCCCACCUCCCUUAAAAAAAAGAAAAGAAAAAGAAAAAAAAGUGUUUGGACAGUUGAAACUGAUGAAGGUUCAUCAUCACUGUGAGGAAUUGCAACCUUGUUUUUCAGUUCAUUUACUUGAAUUAAACACUAGAAUUAACAAAAUCAAUGCCAAUUACCAGAAGAAGGGGAAUCGAUAACAAUUGUGGCAAAACUUUUUAAACAAUUAAGUCAGGUAUUUAGCAAAAAGGUUAAGCAGAUUGCAUUUUUAGAACUUUAAUGACAGAAUUUCUCAGGGUUAAAAAAAAAGUAUAUAAUAGUGCAUAAGCAGACCAGAGGUGGGGUGAGGGGGAUUGCAUGUAGGUCGCAUUCUUGGCCAAAAAUUGUUAAAAAAAUCCAUGAACCCUGAAUCAUACUUCUGCAGUAAAUGGUGGGGUGAUGUGGAAAAAGGGGAGCAGUAAUUGUUUUGUGCAAGGAUUUUAGGUAAUACAGUUUUGAUCGAAGAUCUGUGAACCAUAAUAUAUAGUUUGCACAUAUAUUUAUGUAUGCAUCUUUAUUUCUCAACGUUGUAACAAACUCAUCCUUUACUUUAACAUUAAGGAAUCAUUUUGAUAUAUUAUUUGAAAAUCAUUUUUCAGAAAAUUUUAGAGUUGCUUCUAAAUGCCUUAAAACAGAGUGACUCAUUGUGGUAAAAAAUAAGUGUUAUUUUUAAUCCUUCUUAUCAAUAUUAAAUUUUCUUCAUGAUAAUUAUGAACAAAUAUGAGAUGGUUUUUGCUCUACGGAGAGAAAAGGAAAAACAUUUUUAGCUUCCUUGUGGCUUGCUUUCAAUUAGAUUUUACGUAGAUUAUACAUUUUCUGGAAUAAAUGAGUUAAAAGGGUUUUUUUUACUAAAAAAGAUUUAGGGACAAAUAUUGUUUAAUUUAAGUGUGGUUUGGAUGCCGCUUUUCAAUUGCAUUUUCUAGUAAAGAAGGCUACUUGGUUUUGUGUCAAUAGAAUAAUAGUUUCUCAGUUUUUUGUUAGAUUUUGAUACAUUUGUAUAACCAAUUUAAAUUGUUAUUAUCUGAAAUUACAGUUACAGAUAUGUUUGAAACAAUAUAUAAAGUAUGCAAACAAAUUAAGGCUUUACAAGGAAGGAAAAAUGCUACAAAUUUGGAUUUGUCUAUUAAUAAUUUUAAGCAUGAUUAGAAAAGAAAAUGUAAUUUCUUUGAAAAAAUCAUGAGUUAUCUCCCUUCUAACAUCAUGAAUUUGAACUAAUCAGUUGUUACAUUGUACAUUUUAUAUUGAUUAUUGUAUGUUUUAUACAAAUAUAUAUAUUAUGGGAACUGUCCUGCACUUGAAAGCUACAGCUGCAAAUGGUGUUUCCAUCAGAUAAGAUUCUUAAAAGAAUUUAACUUCCUCAUUUCAGUUUUGCAGAAUUUCCUUUUUGAAAAAGUAUCCAUUUCCUUCUCAGUUUAGAGUGUUCAGACUCAAGUAUCUAACAAAAUGCUUUGCACAUUGUUUUUUGAUGCUUUCUGAUAAUGAAAUCUGAUAUGCUUCCUGGAAAAUUAUGGAAAAUUUGAAAAAUUCUCAACCAAAACAGUAGUUUUGUUCCGUCUGAAAGGUCAAUGUUAUUUGAUAGUCACAAAUCUUUUUCUUUGAUGUACAGUUUUCUGUCUUGAGAAUGUUUAAGAAACACAUGACAAUGAGAAAGCAUUAGAAUGGAUUUAUUCAGAGAAAAUUUUUAAUUUCUGUGUCUAUAAAAAGGGGGGGGGGUAUGAUAGCAAUUCAAAAGCUUAAUCCUUUUGGCAUCUUUUAGGAACACACAUGUACAAAUGAGAGGAAUGUUGGCCCUCAGAAAGUUAUUUACAUUUCCAAGUUUAAUUUCUAUUUCAAAACGGAUAACUAGGUCCAGUCCAGUGUUUUGUUUUGACCUUCAAAAACCUUUUUGAAAUUGUCUAAUAGACCUGAGGGUUUUCAUCAUAUCUACUGUAACUUGUAGGUACCUUUCACAAUUUUAACACUGGAUCUUUUAAACCAUUCCAUUUGUUUCAAGAACCCUAUAAAAAUAUAACAUUAUUUAAGCCAAAAUAUUUCAUUGACUUCUUAAAGAUACAAGAUAUGCAAGCAUUAGUCUAAAGGAGGAAAGUGGAGAAUUUUUACUAAAAGAAAACACUUUAAACUUUAAAGAAUGCAAAAAGUAUUUCACAUACAAAGUGUUCACAUUACCGUAAUUAGAAUCAAGAGCAAAACAUUCUGUAAAUCGGACUUGAAAAUUGGUUCAUUUUGUGCCUUGUUGUUUGUCAUGCAUUUUCACUUGAAAUGUUAGGAAAAGGAUUCCUUUUAAAAUUUAGAUUAAAGGUGCCAGAAGUAUAGAAUUUAGUUAGGAAAAAUAUAUUAGAUUUGCAAUUUUUGGUUGAAUUUUAGAAUUAAUUUCAGUUGCAGAUCCAGGGGUGUUGAAUGGGGACAUAUAGUUAGAACACCCCCCUUUUAUCCUGGUUUGGGACCCCCUUUAAGAAAUGGCUAGAUCCUUCCCUGAAUUUAGAUCCUGUUCAAUAGAUGGUUUUGGUUUAUCUCUUUUUCCAGUCUGACAUCCGAUACAUUUUAUAAAUAACACAUAAUCAUAAGUAUAUUUAUAUAUUCCAUUAUGCCUGUAUUUAUUUGGAUGAAUAACUUUCUGUAUAAACAGUGAAAAAUUAUGUAGGUAAAAAACGACAAUAGUGUUUUCCAUCUUUAGUGUUUGAAUAUUGCAUUGUUACUUCCUAUAAAUUCUGUACUGAGACAAUUUUUAAGUGGUUUACAUGGUAGGAUAGUCAUGACUUUUGAACAUCAUUUAAUGACGACAGUUAGAUUUCCUGUUGUUUUUGCGAAGCUUCUUCAGAUUUGAGAAAUUUAGUACGAUAGGAAAAGCUUAGUCAUGUUGAACAUACAGUAACAGGAAGCAGGGAUUUAAGAUUUGGUCAUUUUAUUUGACAUGACAACGUGUACUGGUGGUUUUGUAAAAAGUUGCAUUACAUAUGUAGACAAUGGUAUGUGCAUUUUUAUUAUUCAUACUUUCCUUGUCCUUUGAUUAUGUUUAUCAGUAACUUGCAAAAUUAUAUGAGGGGGUUAUUUCCCUUGCAUAAUAUAUUUUUUCACAUAUUUUUUAUUUGUGAAUUUUAAAAUCUAAGGAUGGUUAAACAAUAAAUAAUAUGGAAGUUGAAAAAAAAACCACCAAAUGAUAACAUAUUUAAGAAAUUGCAGUCUCAUCAUUUUUGGCAUUAAAUUGUGAAUGGAAAUGGGGAAUGUGUCAAAGAGACAACAACCUGACCAUAGAGCAGACAACAGCAGAAGGUUGCCAAUAGGUCUUCAAUGCAGUGAGAAAUUCCUGCACCCAGAGGCGUCCUUCAGCUGGCCCCUAAACAAAUAUAUAUACUAGUUCAGUGAUAAUGAAUGCCAUACUAAACUCCAAAUUAUAAAUUGUAGGUUAAUAAUAAAAAUAUACAAUAUGCAUUGUAGAAACAAAGCACAAAGAAUUGAAAAUUAUUUUCAAAGAAGAUAAAACCUUGACACAAGGAAAUCUUAUAUAAGAUUCCAUAGUACUUUUAGGAGUACUACUUUUCAAAAGUAGUUACAAGUAGAAAAAAAUUUGUACAUAUGCAGUGUUGUGCUUAGCUAGCUCUCAGGAAUCCAAGCAUGCAAAUAUAACAUUCAAAGAAAAAAACAUGAAACAAUAGAAAAAAGCAGGAUCUUUUUGAUAACUCUGGAACUAAUUUGGCAGAUAGAUUAUUAUCUGCCAGAAACGAGUGUCUGCCUCUCUGGCAGCAGACUUAGGAAACAGUAUUUUUAGAAAGCUUUUGUGUUGUAUUAACACAUGGUACUUAAUAGUUGGAUAAUAAGACUUGUCUGUGAUAGAAGCACAGAUACUAUAACCCCUCUAGUGGUAUAUUGUUGUAUAUUGUAAAUUGCAGAAAGAGAGAUUCAGCUUUUUUCUUUUCUUUUCUUUUGUUAAAUUGAUACAUAUUCUCCAAAUAAAGGUUGAUUUUGAAUUGAAAUUAUUUUUACUUUAAGAAUGACACCAAGGAUGGUGUGCCUCCAUUAUUAGCAUAUGUCUGCCAAGGAGAUCCAAAAGAAAAAGCCAUUUAUAUAUUAUUGAUAUUUCAUUCCAACUGUUGCAUGCCAAUCGUGCAACAGGUCUUACAAUUGUAGCUUUGAUGUUUCACUUGGUAAAGAAGACAUAUUUAUACAGAAAGAUGCUUUUAUGACAAUUCAAAUAAAGUAAACAUUUUAGAAUUACAAUACAUAGGCAAUUAAAUUGACAUCCGUUUUGAAUCCUCAAUUACAAAGGGUCAUUUAAACUUUGAUAUCAAACUUAAGUUGAAACAUGGUAUCUUUUCUUAGAAUUUAAUCAAUCUUGUGACUAUUCCUUGAAAAAAAGUUGGAAUAGAUCUGUUUUUUCUACUUAACAUUUAACAUAUAAAAUUAAAACCAGUCAGAUCCAGUAAUUUUCAAAAAGGGGGAGGGGUAGGGAAAAAAAGUGAAAUUUAACAUUAAAAUAAGAUGCACAUUUGAUCAUUGGCAACUCUAUUGAUCUGCCCUGAUUGUUGACAGGAUUUUUACCAAUUCUUUUUUGCAAGAAUAAUGCCACCUUAUAAUGCCACCUUAUUUUAUAAAUUGUCACCAUGUUUAUAGACCAUCUUCAAAAUUAAAUCCUCUCAUUGAAUCAAACAUUGUAAGAUCUUUAUAUGUAAAUGUUUUUUGGGAGGAUUGAUUCAUUGUUGAAGUUGCUUCCUGAACUUCCACUGACAUGAACUAUUUGCCAUCCAACAACCAAUCAACACGCUGACAAAUAUUUCAAACGUAUUAAGUUCUGUGAGGAAGAUUGACUGGAUAUUUAAACUGCUACUAGAAAAUUAGGGUAUAGUGAAUAGAGGAAGCAAUUAUAUCUUGCAGCAUGCUACCUUCAAAUAAAGGACUACCUCCCCUGAGUUGUUGCAAGAUUUCUAUAAAUAAAGGCGAACCUACACAAAUAUUUUGGGAGAAAUUUUUUAAAAGUCAUGCUCUUUUAAAUUUUAGACCGAAGCAUAGUUCAUUGUUUGAUUCAGGCAUAUUUCGGCUGUAUGUUGUCAUCCAUAGAUAGUUUUCGUAAAUAUAGGUGGUAGUUCUAUUUUGAUGACCAUUCCUAUCUUGAACUAUAAACCAGAUGUGGAUCACCAUAAAAAAUUCAAAGAGUGAUUGAUUUGCUACACUACAGAAAUAAUGCAUCAGAAUUUCAUUAAAACUGACCAUAGAAAAAUCUGAGAAUUAAACCAAUGCAUCUGUUAUUUAUUGGAAGUCCACCCUCCCUCCAUUCCAAUAGUUGACAGUUUUGAGUGGCACUUGAACUUUGAUAUUGAGACAGGAAAAUUCAAUUAAAAAGAAGACUGGUCAAAAUUGCAGCAAUUUAUUAAAUGACAUUUUUAUUGUAAUAAAAAAUAGACAUUUGUGAGAAGGUGCAACUAAAUAAAUGUUGCUAGAAAAAAUGUCUCAUCAAAAUGUCAGAUUUCUAGAUGCAGUGGCGGAUCCAGGGGGGGGGUUCCGGGGGUGCACACCCCCCUUUAUUUUUGCCGAUCAAUGCAUUUGUAUCGGACAUAUGUUUUGCCCCCCCUGCCCCCCCUUUGCCCUGUAGCACCCCCCCUUUCGAAAAUUCCUGCAUCCGCCCCUGAUUUAAUUUAAGAUACCUUUUUGAGAUAAGUGUCUUUAAUUUUGAAAAGAAAAGUUAUUUUUCUAAGAAGUGUUUUAGUUGUUAUAUCAAAAUCUUGAACAAAGAAGGAGGAAGCAAUAGAGAGGUUGAAAUUUGUGAAAUUAUAAAAAAAUAGAAUCUUCUUUGGUAGAAAUUAGUAAAUCCAAAGUUCUUUUAGCCUGGCACAAAUAUUAUGAUUCUGUAAUUUUUCACUUUUGUUGAUGUUUAAUUUUAAAAUUGGAAGAGUACAUGCAUGCUUGCAGAACAAAAACAUGUUUUUCAUUUGGGGAUAAUAUAACAAUGCUGCCAAGUUUUGGAAGCUUUAAUCAUGGUUACCAAAAUAACCAGACUCGUAACUUGAUUGUGUUGAGCAAUUUAGAAAUUAGGCAUUUCCUCUCUGUUUCCAAAUUAACAGACAAUUUUCAUCCUUUAUUGUGGAACUGGUAUACUGUAGAUAAUCGUCAUAAUUUGACAAUUGCUGGGUUUAAUGCCAAAAAGAUUCCAAUUAUAUCGAAUAAAAUUAUAGCAUGAAAUAUGGGAAAAUGAGAUGAUGGUAAAAGUCAAAAGUUUCAGGAUACAUGAAUUUCAGAAUUAAUCACCAGCAUUUGUGAGAGGAAGUCGUUGCUCUAAUUUACAGCGAUAAUAUGAUUCUGGUAUAAGUGACUAAUAUCAAGAAUUGUCUGUGAAAAUGCCUGCAAAUGUGAGUGGAAACUGAUUAUUUGAUUGGUAUUAAAGUUCAUCAUUGCAAUUACAGGUCAUUUGUGGUACUUGCAGCAUGACAAUUAUUCCUUUCAAAUAAGCUGCAUCUGCUUAAUAAAAACAACCAUCAAAGUCGAGAAAUAUCUCACUGCUAUAGCUAGAAUGAUCAUGCAUAUAAAGUUUCAAAAUGUCAUUUCUAUAAGCUUUAUUUGAUUUUACUUUCAAUUAUGAUUUGACAAAAGUUAUUCCCCCCAGUUCCAGCAAAUUAACACUGGUUUCCUUCAAUUGAGAGCAACAGUGAGAAGUAGAUAUCCAAUUUUUGUUCAGUGUCACAUUCAUUUUCAUUGAACUAGUACACAUUUUGUGUAAAGGGCCAGCUGAAAUCCACCUCCAAGUGCAGGAUUUUCUUGCUGUGUUGAAGACCCAUUGGUGGCCUUUGGCUGUUUUUGCUCUUUGGUCAGGUUGUUGUUGCUUUGACAGAUUCCCCAUUUCCUUUCUCAAUUUUUAAAACUCAUAUGUUAUUCCCCUCCAGUUUCUUGGAAAGUAGCACUUGUUUCCUGCAAUGAAGAGUAACAGUUAGAAGGAGAUAUUUCAUCUUAAUGUUCAUGUGAUAUUCUGUUUUCAUAAAAGUUGUAACUACAUAGAGUUUCUCUAGUUCUGACAUAAAUGUACUUUUGAUCAAACUGGGUUACUUAGCUGCUAAGUGUUGUAUUGUUUACAUAAUGAUCGCUGUACACAAUACUGUUUCCUUGUAAAGAAAAUUUUGUUUUUGAAUUAAUUAAGGAAUGACUGUAAUAUUUUUUUCUGCUUAUGAAGAAAUAACAUAAAAAAUAUGGUGCACACUGAAUAACACGCGUAGCGGGUUAUUUACAGUGUGCACCACAUUUUUAUGCCCCACCUACGAUAGUAGAGGGGCAUUAUGUUUUCUGGUCUGUGGCUCCGUUCGUCCGUCGUCCGUCUGUGGUUCCGUUCGUCCGUCCAGGUUAAAGUUUUUGGUCAAGGUAGUUUUUGAUGAAGCUGAAGUCCAAUCAACUUGAAACUUAGUACACUUGUUGCUUAUGAGAUGAUCUUUCUAGUUUUUAAGCCAAAUUAGACUUUUGACCCCAAUUUCACGGUCCACUGAACAUAGAAAAUGAAAGUGGGAGUUUCAGGUUAAAGUUUUUGGUCAAGGUAGUUUUUGAUGAAGCUGAAGUCCAAUCAACUUGAAACUUAGUACACUUGUUGCUUAUGAUAUGAUCUUUCUAAUUUUAAUGCCAAAAAAAUGCGAGUGGGGCAUCCGUGUACUUUGGACACAUUCUUGUUUAUGUUAUUUCGAAUAGACAGAAAAAAUAUUACAGUCAUUUCUUAUAAUUUAAUUCUAAAUUCCAUUUUAAACCGUAGAAAACCAUGAAAAAACGUUGAUGAUGUCACGGUCACAUGACUAAAUUAUGUCUAUGGGCUGACAACAAAAUAACGUCGGCCAAUCAGAAGACGCGUUACAUCCAAAAUUAAAUUAUUAGAAAUUGUUAGCCACUGAUUGAUUUGAUUAUAUUUAGAACAAUAGGGGUUAGAUGGAGGUAUUAUUCUCCAGUCCUGAGGAAUGAAGUUUUGUGAACUUGGUUCUCAUAACAUGAGCUAUAUGUAUUCUUAUAUUUGGUAGAAAUUUUGGUCACUCAUAGUGUAAACAUGGUCAUAUUUUUUUUCAACUUUAAAGAUUUUUUAUAGGAGCUACACUUUCUUUUUAUAAAACUCUUGGUUCAAUAAGAUGCAUAUUCAGAACUUUGGAAAAAGUGGAGGGGUGUGUGUGAGGGGCAAACUAGACAACAUUUGGAUUGGGAAAUGUAAAAUGUCUAUGUAUUAAUCACCAAUAUAGUUUCAUAAGGGGAUGUGAGCAUCCCCACUCCUGCCUUAUUCUGUUUCUGCAUAUAUAGCUUUGCAAAGGAUCCUGACCAUGUUUUUCCUAACUCUGAUUAUUCAGUUCCUUUCUUCUAAGCUUAUAUCCUAAAAGGAAGGUCUCAAAAGUCAAAUGAUGGAUUCACUUCAUCUGUUUCCUUGAAAGAUGCUACUUGUGAAGCUUGUACUAUGGUAUUUUUAAGUUUUUCAAGUACCUGAACAAUGAUUUGUUGGAAAAACCAUUCAUUCAGUUUCUAUACAUCAUGUCAUUUUUCUCCUUACAGGUUUUAAACAGAAAAGUCAAGACAGAUAUAGUUUAUAGAAGG